UACGGAGGGAGCUAGCGUUGUUCGGAAUUACUGGGCGUAAAGCGCGCGUAGGCGGCUUUGUAAGUUAGAGGUGAAAGCCCGGAGCUCAACUCCGGAACUGCCUUUAAAACUGCAUCGCUUGAAUCCAGGAGAGGUGAGUGGAAUUCCGAGUGUAGAGGUGAAAUUCGUAGAUAUUCGGAAGAACACCAGUGGCGAAGGCGGCUCACUGGACUGGUAUUGGCGCUGAGGUGCGAAAGCGUGGGGAGCAAACAGG
rnacentral:rRNA from 1 species